rnacentral:rRNA from 1 species
CCUACGGGAGGCUGCAGUAGGGAAUAUUGCUCAAUGGGGGCAACCCUGAAGCAGCAACGCCGCGUGGAGGAUGAAGGUUUUCGGAUUGUAAACUCCUUUUGUUAGAGAAGAUAAUGACGGUAUAUAACGAAUAAGCACCGGCUAAAUCCGUGCCAGCAGCCGCGGUAAUACGGAGGGUGCAAGCGUUACUCGGAAUCACUGGGCGUAAAGAGCGCGUAGGCGGGAUAGCAAGUCAGAUGUGAAAUCCUAUGGCUUAACCAUAGAACUGCAUUUGAAACUGUUAUUCUAGAGUAUGGGAGAGGUAGGUGGAAUUCUUGGUGUAGGGGUAAAAUCCGUAGAGAUCAAGAGGAAUACUCAUUGCGAAGGCGGCCUGCUGGGCUUUUACUGACGGUGAGGCUCGAAAGCGUGGGUAGCAAACAGGAUUAGAUACCCCAGUAGUC